UACGGGGGGGGCAAGCGUUGUUCGGAAUUACUGGGCGUAAAGGGCUCGUAGGCGGCCAACUAAGUCCGACGUGAAAUCCCCAGGCUUAACCUGGGAACUGCGUCGGAUACUGGAUGGCUUGAAUUCGGGAGAGGGAUGCAGAAUUCCAGGUGUAGCGGUGAAAUGCGUAGAUAUCAGGAGGAACACCGGUGGCGAAGGCGGUUCUCUGGGAAUGACCUGACGCUGAGGAGCGAAAGUGUGAGGAGCGAACAGG
rnacentral:rRNA from 1 species